rnacentral:misc_RNA from 1 species
GAGAAAUUAGAUGAGAUGGCAAUAAUCCAAACUGGAUGCGAUCAUUGACUCUCAAACUUGGUUCAGGAGUUAUUAGAUAUCCCAAUCGGGUCCUACCAGCUGCCCUUACAGUUAAGGUGAAAGGCAGCAACUUGACAGAUUAUUACAACUACAUUGGCUGCUUCUGCUGCACAGCGUCCUGAGGCAUCAAUGUCUUGACUUAAACCUUUUGUGAUGUUACGGCCAAAAGAAAAGUAAAUUUUAGAAUAUCUAUCUCACCGAUAAGCCCCUCAAUUUAGUGAAAUUU